rnacentral:rRNA from 1 species
AACUCUCAGCAACGGAUAUCUUGGCUCUUGCAACGAUGAAGAACGCAGCGAAAUGCGAUACGUAGUGUGAAUGCAGAAUUCCGGAAUCAUCGAGUUUUGAACGCAA